CCUCUUCCUCUGCUUUGCGCACGAGUCCAGCGCGCAUGCAAACCACUCCGUGUCCGCACGCUGCACGCUGGCUAACGGCGUCCCGGCACCCUCCUCCAUCGCUGGUCUGAGCCUCGACCUCCUCCCGGGUCUUGGAGCUUGCCUCCGUCGCCAGGAGUCGACAGCCGCGUCCCUCUCUCCGCGGUGGACGCCGCGCACCGAGCGGACGAUGUGAUCGUCACCGGCCCGGACUGAGAGCCCCCGUGCUCACCUCAUGCGUGGACACCAUCCCUGCCUCGCGUCUGCACCUCAAGCCGUGCCCGAUUCCACCUGAGUGAGACCGGCCGCGUCCAGGCGUCCAGCUCCAGCACAUGACUCCGCCACCCGUAUGAGGUCCAGUCCGUCGGCGUGGCCGAUUACCCAAUACCCAUCCGGUUCUUCCUCUCCACGGCACUGGCGCGAGCUCACUAACCUCCUGGGAACGGCUCCGGCGGGCGCCCCGACGAACUCCUUCGCCGUCGCCGUACGGCCACGUCGCCUCCGCCGCUCCAUCCGUCCCUACCAACGACGAGGUACAGCCCUGGUGUAGAGAAGAAGCCCUCGUCCAGGACCCGCUACUCCUGCCGUGAGAACCGCCGCCGUUCACCGCCGGCAACCACCGGCAAGGCUCCUUACCCCGCACCCCUCGGCUUUCCCACGAAUCGGUGAUUAACCGACCAGACAGGCCCGGUUUCCUUGCAGCCACUGACCUACGGGCCCCGCAUACUCGGUUCAUUUUUAAAACCAGACAGAGUCAGCUGAACAAGUUGUAAGUAUUACUAUUUGAUUAACAAUUAAAAUUUCUAACUGAAUUUACUGCGUUCAAGUGUUUUUCAAUAUUACCUGAAAAAGAAAACGUGUUUUCUUCUUCGAUAUUUCCUCUUAUCCAAGCUAACUUUUGUACUCCUUUGUCAGUGUGGACAUGGACCAAUGGUACUGUUUGUCUUGUCAAGCCACAGAAGUUUAAGCACCGAACCCUGCAUGUUGAAAAUGACAGAACAUUUAUAUCAUUUUCCAGCAAAAUAAAUAGAGGCCCAUGUAUCUGAUCCAGCAUUUGGGGUUAGCAUUUGUGUUUUGGUCUCAUCUCUUUAAUGUUGACAGCACAGUGGUUCAAUUCUAAAUUUUUUAUCUAAAGGCUGCAGUAAUUGGGCUUAAACAACAUGGCUUUGGACGUAGUACAAAACUGUCAAAUGCAUAUUUUCUCUCAAAUAUAUAUGCACAUGAGUUCCUAUGCAGUUUCGUAUAUAUCUGAUUAUUACCUUGUCUUAGUUAGUGUAGCAGAUCUUUGAUAUUUUUUUCAUCUUGUGGCAAUAUUUGGUGUGCGUUUUUCCUCGUCUUGUGGCAACAUUUGUUGUGUGGGUUACAUUUCUUACCCUUCUACAUCCCCUUUUGUCGAGAGAUAAAUGUGUUCUUCAAUUAUAGUGUGGAAGAUGAGUACAAUAUCUCUAGAUACAAGUAAUAAAUAUUCAUAAGAAUCUUCAUUGUUACUACCUCAUUUUUUGCAGAGCUUUGAAUGGUAAUCAACUAUCCGGUUCCCUACCAGAUGAGAUUGGCUAUCUCAAGAACUUAAACAGAUUACAAAUCGACCAAAAUCAAUUAUCUGGACCCAUACCUAUGUCGUUUGCUAAUUUAAAAAGCCUGGAGCAUCUUUACAUGAACAAUAAUUCAUUAAGUGGGCAAAUUCCAUCUGAGUUGUCCACAUUGCCUUAGCUCCUUCAUCUGCUUGUGGAUACCAAUAAUUUAUCUGGACCUCUUCCUCCAAAAUUAGCAGAGACGCCUAGUUUGAAAAUAUGGCACAUUUUAUAUACCCAAUGAGACUUCUUUGGCGUAGAGAAUUACUUUAUUUCAGAAUGUGUUCUGGUUUCUUUCAGAGAAUAUCCGAUGCUGGUUGUGUGAUGACUACGUUAGUUUUGCUCGUCUGAGAAUAUUUAGUAAUGCUACAAAAUUCAGUAGUGUACUUAAAUGUUGCUUAAAUAUAAUUUGGUUCUGCCUUUCUUGUGUUACUAAACACAGGGGCGGACGCAUGUUGUGGCGAGUGGGGGCCCAGGACCCCGCUCGAUUCAUCGUCCUCUUCGUACUACGUCCCGAUGCUAGCGAGCAGGCCCCCGGUCGGGCUAUAGCAGGCUGAAGGCGUGCGUCUACCCUGCUGCCGCCUGCCGCUUCGACUCUGGGAGCUCACAAUUAAUAGCGAGAAAAACGAAGAGGCGAGCCCUCGGCCGCCGCUUGGUUGGACCAUUGGUGGAUCGCGGCUUGGCGGGUGCCAGUCCUGUGCCAUCCGGUCGCCGGCCACCGGCGGCGCCACCGUCGACGGGUGUACAGCAGCAACGGAUGAACGGAGCAUCCUCAGCAACUCAUCUCUAAUCAGGUCUGUAGCACCUCCUCAUCUCCUUAUCCCAAACGACUACAGAGAUACUUCUUAGUUCUUUAUUUUGCUUGCUGUUGCCUGACUACACUCUGGUCCUUAUUCUUCAGUUGAUUCCUUGGUUUAUCUCAUAUCAAAUCAAAUGAAAACUUGCGGUUCGUACUAGUACAGUAGUACUACUCUAUCAGACAUGUAGCCAUGUACUGUUGGUUCUACCAAAAAAUUAUAGGAUUAGUGUGACACACUACUUGUACUUGGAAAAUUUCUAUGGAAUUCAAUCUGGCAUGCCAUUCUACUACUAGUACUUUUGCUGGCCUGCUAGUCUGCUCCACUAGAAUGUUUUGUAUCUGAACUUUUACAAUUUGUGCUUCCAU